rfam:Oscillatoriales cyanobacterium JSC-12 chromosome, whole genome shotgun sequence.
GCCCGUGUGGCUCAGUGGUAGAGCACACCCUUGGUAAGGGUGAGGUCACGAGUUCGAUCCUCGUCACGGGCU